GCUAUAUAUAGCUACAAGCAAAAACCGCUACAGUUUUAUCAUAAGCCGAGUCCAAAACCCUAAUCUUCUUUUAAGCGACACUCUUAAUAUCGUGGGAUAUCCGACGACUUUGAGGUUAAUUAUGGAGAGGGGGCAGCUUGACCAUGACAUAUAACAAAAUCGGCUCAAGCAACUAAAAAAGCUGGAGCGAAUGCUAAACAUAGGUAUCCUUGUUACUGUGUCAGUGUCAUUGUUCAUCAUCGGCUGCUACGGAGUAGCUUAACAGUUCCAAUGUUUCAAAACUGAGCGUAGAGUGUAAAACUCGACUAAUGACACUAUUUAGAUGUUUAGAUGAUUAUAGGGUUUUCUUUUCUUUGGUGUUUUUGGUUUUGUUUAAUUUUUUGAGUAAUUUAUUUAUUUU